AGCGGCCUGGCACACGCAGGGCCCGGCGAUCCCGCGGAGACCGGCCGGGGGGGCUCCGCCGCUGACGGGCCCGGUGUGCGCGGCCCGCCGUGGCGGACGGAGGGGGGCCCCGGUGCGCCGGGCUGCCGGUCCCCGCGCGAGCGCCGGCUGGUUGGGCCGCCUGCCCGCUGCGCCUCCCCGCGGAAGCUGCGUGGGAGGGGAGGCCGCUCUUCCAGCUGUGUUGGACUGCAAGGCCCGACAUCCCCGGCUUGCGGUGGUCGGGGAAGGCUGCUGACUCUCAACGGAAGCGGGGUGCCCCGAGGCGCCUUUUUGCCCGAGGCGGCACCGGCCCCUUCGCGGGGUGCCGCAUCCUGCCCCCGCCUCCGUGUGCGUCUCUCGAGGAGCCCCACUGGCGGAGCGGGUGGCGCCUCGGCCUCCUCGGGGCCAGUUCCGCAUCCUCGGGAGGCCUCCAUGAGUCACGGUGCCUCGGCCCUGUCCUGUUGCAACAGGACUUCCCGCCCCGACCCGCACUCGCAGAUGUGUCUCCGGAAAGGUCAUCGUGGAAAAAGCGCCCAAGGCUCGGAUAGGCGACCUGGACAAAAAGAAAUACCUUGUCCCGUCAGAUCUCACAGUUGGGCAGUUCUACUUCCUGAUCCGGAAAAGGAUCCACCUUCGAGCUGA
rnacentral:lncRNA from 1 species